rnacentral:rRNA from 1 species
GGUUCCGAAGUGAUUGAUACCAAGCUUCCAGGAAAAGCCACUAAGCUUCAGUCUAGAGUUGACCGUACCGCAAACCGACACAGGUGGGCAGGAUGAAAAUUCUAAGGCGCUUGAGAGAACUCAGGAGAAGGAACUCGGCAAAUUAACACCGUAACUUCGGGAGAAGGUGUGCCCCGGUAGCGUGUAGAGACUUGCUCUCGAAGCGCGAUGGGGUUGCAGUGAAAUGGUGGCUGCGACUGUUUAAUAAAAUCACAGCACUCUGCAAACACGAAAGUGGACGUAUAGGGUGUGACGCCUGCCCGGUGCCGGAAGGUUAAGUGAUGGGGUGCAAGCUCUUGAUCGAAGCCCCGGUAAACGGCGGCCGUAACAAUAACGGUCCUAAGGUAGCGAAAUUCCUUGUCGGGUAAGUUCCGACCUGCACGAAUGGCGUAACGAUGGCCACACUGUCUCCUCCUGGGACUCAGCGAAGUUGAAAUGUUUGUGAAGAUGCAAUCUACCCGCGGCUAGACGGAAAGACCCCAUGAACCUUUACUGUAGCUUUGCAUUGGACUUUGAACCGGUUUGUGUAGGAUAGGUGGGAGACUGUGAAGCCGGGACGCUAGUUUCGGUGGAGUCAACCUUGAAAUACCACCCUGAUUUGUUUGAGGUUCUAACCUUGGUCCGUGAAUCCGGAUCGGGGACCGUGCAUGGUAGGCAGUUUGACUGGGGCGGUCUCCUCCCAAAAGGUAACGGAGGAGUACGAAGGUACGCUUAGGGCGGUCGGACAUCGCCCACAAAGUGCAAUGGCAAAAGCGUGCUUGACUGCGAGACCCACAAGUCGAGCAGGUACGAAAGUAGGUCAUAGUGAUCCGGUGGUUCUGUAUGGAAGGGCCAUCGCUCAACGGAUAAAAGGUACUCUGGGGAUAACAGGCUAAUUCCUCCCAAGAGUUCAUAUCGACGGGGGAGUUUGGCACCUCGAUGUCGGCUCAUCACAUCCUGGGGCUGUAGUCGGUCCCAAGGGUAUGGCUGUUCGCCAUUUAAAGUGGUACGCGAGCUGGGUUUAAAACGUCGUGAGACAGUUUGGUCCCUAUCUGCCGUGGGCGCUGGAAAUUUGAAGGGGGCUGCUCCUAGUACGAGAGGACCGGAGUGGACGAACCUCUGGUGUACCGGUUAUGACGCCAGUCGUAUCGCCGGGUAGCUAAGUUCGGAAGAGAUAAACGCUGAAAGCAUCUAAGCGUGAAACUCGCCUUAAGAUAAGAUUUCCCGGAGCC